AGUCCAAUUGCUGGAGCAUAUGGUAAGUCUGUUUUUAGAUUUUAAAGGAACUGCCAAACUGUUUUCCAGAGUGGCUAUACCAUUUUAUGUUACCACCAGCAAU
rnacentral:pre_miRNA from 2 species